AAGUCGGAACAAGGUUUCCGUAGGUGAACCUGCGGAAGGAGCAUUAACACGUAUUCAAACGUUAAAACUACCCCGUGAACCUUCAUCCUGCUCUUGUAACCCGCGUAGUUCGCACUCUGAUAAACCAUAGCCCAGAAAGUUGUAGUGAUUCAGAGACCUCUGGCUACGUGCGAACAUUAUUGGAACAGUUACAAUCGCGCGGUGGUUCUAUAGGCAAUGUUUCCCCAAGCAGUCAGUGUCGGAAAGUGGCAUUGAUUGUGCAAGGAUAGCGCUUCUACAAUUCCUGUAGACCGUACACUCGGGCAGGACCUUUGCCAAAGGGUCCCAUAACCCCACAGUUCAAUGUAAUACAUUGGGUAAAAACACCGAGCAACUGGUAACAAUGGAUAUCUUGGUUCUC
rnacentral:misc_RNA from 1 species